UCUUAAUCAGUUUCAAUAUUAAUAAAAUUUAUUUUAAUUUUAUUUAUUCUUAAUUAUAUAAGAAAAGCAAAUGAAAUUAUAUAAAAAAAAUUAUAAUUUAAGCUCGACUCGGAUUCGGCUUUUCGUUUAAAUUAUUCAAACUCAUUUAAAAUUCUCAUAUUCAACCAAAUUUUAGUUACUAAUAUAAUUUCACAUAUUCGAAUAUGAACAAUUACAUAUAGCAAAAAGAACUUGCUUUCUUGAUAAAUUCAUGGAUUUUACCUCCUACCUAAUCUUCAAAUGUUGUGGGAAACUUUUCUUUGAUGAAUAACCUGAAAAUUCUGCUCAAGGUCAAAGCCAAUAACCAACCUAGCAAUGGAUCAACAAAAGUGGAGGUGGAUGUAGCGCAAUGCUUAAUUUAGGCCUAAUACAUGGACAUAUGAACAGAACCAGCAUGGGCCUAGCUUAGACGUUAUAAAGAAGGUUUCCAUGUGGAUAUGGGGAGGAGAUAUAAUGGGUUCAAGGCUUCAAGCUACCAUGAAUUCCUGAAAUCAUCAUGUUUACAAGAUUCAGGAUUUGGCUUUUUGCAAGUAAAAAAAAAAAGAUAACAUACAUGCCCAAGCCAUCCAGGCGAUUCUGGCUUAAAAAAGAAUCCAAGGUAAUCAACCAUUAAAAACUCAGGAUUUAUGUCUAUAGAACUUAGCAGAAGCAUCUUUUUUCUUUUCUGUAGUAAGUAAGAAUAUCAGCAGAAUUUGCUUCUAAAACAACAUCAUCUACAAAGAAUGUAAGGGCAUUCCAGGCAGCAAAAACACUGAAAUUGUUUAAGCUGCAAAGCGGAUCCCUUGAGUCAUUUUCAGUGUUGCACUUUCAAGAUUUAAGCCAACCAUGGUGAUAAUUUAAGAACCAUGGAGGCUCAGUACUAGUGCUCUGGCAAAUGAUCCAAAACCCCUUUUAUUCAAAAUCCAUGAAUGAGAAAAACUACAGAAAGAGUACUAAGUUUCUAUCUUCAGUGAGCUAGAGAGCUUUAGGGCUUCUUUUUUUUUUAAGAAAGAUACAGAGCAUUCUUUGACGACUCAAGAUUGGAGAAAACAGCUUCUCCUUUUAUAUGGGUAUAGGAUGCUGUAUUAGGGCAUUACACGCUUGUUCCAUGUAGACCGAAUAAUUGACCUUUGGUGAUUGAAUUGGAAAAAUCGUGCGGUUU
rnacentral:lncRNA from 1 species